CCAGAUUCUCGCUCAGCACAGAACACUCGCUCUGGAGCAUGGAAGGAGGAGAGGUUAGCCAAGGACACGAGGGGACAGCCUGUGGAAAAGAAGAUCUGGGCCUGGGAAGGUUCCUCUUCUUUCUGAGCCUCAAGCUCCCCAACUGAGCUAUGGGUGCAUUCUGCUGGAGGCAGGCUCCAAGAAGGGAACUUGGCCCUGGAGGAAGGGCAGGUGUUGGAUAUAGGUGGUCCUCACACCUGCAGAGACUGCACAUGCUGGUUAACCCGGUUGGUCUUUUCCUUCAAGCUGGUGAUGGAGUCUUUAGCGCGGACCAAUCCACUGUUGACCCCACUCUGGGGAAGAAUGGGAGACAGCCUACAUCAUUACUUAGACUGUGCAGAAUUAUAGUCAAUUUCUGAGUCAUCCCUUAAAGGAAAAGAGUGAGAACUUUCCCUUUUUCUCUCAUUUCACUGGAAUGCACAAUUGAGGGCUGUCUUGGACCAGCAGAUAGAGGACACAAUGAAACAGAAGAAGCCUGAAUCCUUGACAUGGAGCCACCAUACUCCAUUCCAACCACCUGUGAAGACUUUCAGGGGAAUGAUAGCCUCAAUGUCAUAAGCAGCCACCUAUGAAGAGGCCCAUGUAGCAAGGAAUUGAGGCCUCCAGCCAAGGGCAGGUGAGUGCCCCAUUUUGGUAGCACACCCUCUGGCCCCAGUCCAACCUUCAGGUGACUGCAGCCCCAGCCAAAAUCUUGUCUGCAACCUCGUGAGACGCCCUGAGCCAGGCCCACCUAGCUGAGUCCCUCCAAGUUUGUUGUUUGAAGUUUUGGUGUAAUUGGUUUCACAGCAAUAGAAAGCAUUACACAAAGUGUCUUUCUAACCUGAAGACUCAGAAGGUCUUGGGUUUCCUGUGGGUAAUUGUUCUGGAAACCAAGGCAACAGGACCUAGGGUCAGCUAAUUUCUCCCAGUUACUAGCCAUAUGACCUCAUGGAGGGGACUUCACCUCUCUGUGCCUCUGCUUCCCUACCUGUGAAAUGGAGAUACAACUAACAACUACCUUCACAGGGUUCCCAUUGUCCUUCCUCCUACCUGAAAACUGACACUCUCUCAGCCAGGGUCUCCAUCACCGCCUGGUUCUCUGUCCCCCUCUUUCCAGUUCUCUGUCCCCACCCAGCCCCUGUGUCUGUUCCUUCUCUCUCUGGGUCUCUAUCCCCCUCCUCUAUUUCUGGUCUUCUGUCUCACCCUGAUUCAGCUCUGUCCCCCAAAUCUCGGAGUCUCUGACUUCUUUUUCCUGAGUCUCUGCCUUUCUACUCUUUAGGUCUCUGUCUUCUUUUUUUUUUUUUUUUUUUGAGAUAGAGUCUCACUCUGUCACCAGGCUGGAGUGCAGUGGCACGAUCUUGGCUCUCUGCAACCUCCACCUCCCGAGUUCAAGCGAUUCUCCUGCCUCAGCCUCCCGAGUAGGUGGGAUUACAGGCAUGUGCCCCCCUCUGUCUCUGGGUCUCUGUCCUCCUCUCUCUCUGGGUCUCUGUCCUCCUCUCUCUCUGGGUCUCUGUCCUCCUCUCUCUCUGGGUCUCUGUCCUCCUCUCUCUCUGGGUCUCUGUCCUCCUCUCUCUCUGGGUCUCUGUCCUCCUCUCUCUCUGGGUCUCUGUCCUCCUCUCUCUCUGGGUCUCUGUCCUCCUCUCUCUUGGUCUCUGUCCCUCUCUCUCUGGGUCUCUGUCCUCCUCUCUCUUGGUCUUUGUCCCCCUCUCUCUGGGUCUCUGUCCCCCUCUCCCUGGUCUCCCUUCCCCUCUCUCUGGGUCUCUGUUCCCCUCUCUCUCUCUGGGUCUCUGUCUCCCUCUCUCUCUGGGUCUCUCUCUGUCCUCUCUCUCUGGGUCUCUGUGUCCUUCUCUCUGCCUGUCCCCGCCUUCUCUCUGGAUGC